CCGUACUCAUGGUGACGGAUCACUAGCAAACAGAUGAAACAAGAAACAUGAUUGACUCUGUGGUGCUUCCUCCCCAGUCAACAGAGUUAGAUGAAUGUGUACUUCUUGGAGGACCCUGUGAAACAUAAGGUGUUGUGAAAACGCACAAGUCUAAAGCAGUUGAGGCUGCUGAGGGGAGGACGGCUCAUAAUAAUGGCUGGAACAAAGCAAAUGGAAUGUUGUGAAAACGCACAAGACUAAAGCCUUAUCAUUUAGCCCCCGAACGGCUAAGAAACAUUUAACUAAAUAAUAAUUACAGCCAUGUCAAAUUCAACUACAGGUGCAACUGAUAACUUAUAUUUUCCUAGUGGCAUCUCACUUUACUACACAUUCUGUCAAGAAUUGAAAUACAUACCCCUGAAAACACAGUUACAUUCUAGACCACACCCUCAAUUUACAAACAAGUGCAGGAGCACCACUUUUGGCCAUAAAAGGAAAUUCAAGAUUUGAAGUAAUACACAUUUAAUGAAAAACACAUUAAAAACAUGUUUUUAAACCAA